rnacentral:snRNA from 1 species
AUAUCUUUCUUGGUCCUUUGGAUAAGAUCAAGUGUAGUACUCCCUCCAUAUUCAUAAAGGAAGUCGUUUAGGACAGCGAUACGGUGUCCAAAACACAUUUUUGACUUCUUAUUUCUAUAAUAAUAUUUAUUGAAAAGUGAUAUAUGUAUACUUUUAUGAAAGUAUUUUUCAAGAAAAAUCUAUACAUAUA